rnacentral:tRNA from 1 species
GAUAGUGUGGCCGAGUGGUCUAUGGCGCUGGUUUUAGGCACCAGUCUUUUCGGAAGCAAGGGUUCGAAUCCCUUCACUGUCA